rnacentral:lncRNA from 1 species
GGGGCAUAUGGAAUAAUGAGAAGCCAUAUUAAGUCCUUGUUGCCUGUCAUAAGAAACACAGAGCUGGGACUGUGAGACUACGCCAACCUUUCCCUUGUGUAAUGUCAAUGUCGGCUAUCACUUUGGCAGAAUCACCCAGCUCAGUGAAGACAGAAAACCCCUCCUUUCCUCCUGUUUUUUCAUCUGCUGGUGGCAUUCCAAGUGACCUUCCCUCAUAAAUAUUGCCAGACCAAGCAUGGGUACUUCCCAUACAGAAGCAGAAUUUGCUUAGACCUACAUCUUUCCAUAACAUAGCUCAGUUUGCAGUCUCCAAAUUCCAGAGCAAAGUUUUUUGCCCUAGCAACACUUCUCAAAGCAGGUUCGAGAUUUGGUGCCACAGAAUUUACACAACCAAGAAGACCACAGGAAACAACAGCCUCAGAAGGGAAACAAAGAGUUUUCAAUGUGUUCAUAUUGCAUUAAUUUUUUUAGAAGAAUACCUAAUACUCACUUAAAUUAAAAUUCACAGCAAAAGAAAGAACUGGAGGUGUUGGUUACCCUGUGCGUUGCCACAACUGGAGACUUACAAAAUAGGAAAGGAUCAUAAAACAUUAUUAUGUAAAAUAAAGAAAUUUGAGCUUUUCUGUAAACAAAUGGAGUCUAAUUUCCUUUUUACGUUACUGUACCUCUUUUU